UUUCCCUGGCUAUGGGCAAAGAGACACCUGAUUGGUGGUGGUGCUCUUAUAUCAGUCAGGGACAGAGCCGACUUGAAGUCCUUUGUUCAUCCUAGCUUGAUGCCUAGAUUGUGGCCAGAGCUGUUUCAUGCCUAGGGCACAUUU
rnacentral:snoRNA from 1 species